rnacentral:rRNA from 1 species
CUACCGGGCGACCGGAUGCGGAUCUCGAAAGCCUGUCCCAGUUCGGACUGGAGUCUGCAACCCGACUCCNCGAAGUUGGAUUCGCUAGUAAUCGCGCAUCAGCCAUGGCGCGGUGAAUACGUUCCCGGGCCUUGUACACACCGCCCGUCAAGCCAUGGGAGCCGGGGGCGCCUGAAGUCCGGGACCGCGAGGACCGGCCUAGGGCGAAACUGGUAACUGGGGCUAAGUCGUAACAAGGUACC